rnacentral:rRNA from 1 species
AUGAACGCUGGCGGCGUGCCUAAUACAUGCAAGUCGAGCGAACAGAUGAGGAGCUUGCUCCUCUGACGUUAGCGGCGGACGGGUGAGUAACACGUGGAUAACCUACCUAUAAGACUGGGAUAACUUCAGGAAACCGGAGCUAAUACCGGAUAAUAUAUUGAACCGCAUGGUUCAAUAGUGAAAGACGGUUUUGCUGUCACUUAUAGAUGGAUCCGCGCCGCAUUAGCUAGUUGGUAAGGUAACGGCUUACCAAGGCAACGAUGCGUAGCCGACCUGAGAGGGUGAUCGGCCACACUGGAACUGAGACACGGUCCAGACUCCUACGGGAGGCAGCAGUAGGGAAUCUUCCGCAAUGGGCGAAAGCCUGACGGAGCAACGCCGCGUGAGUGAUGAAGGUCUUCGGAUCGUAAAACUCUGUUAUUAGGGAAGAACAAAUGUGUAAGUAACUAUGCACGUCUUGACGGUACCUAAUCAGAAAGCCACGGCUAACUACGUG